rnacentral:rRNA from 1 species
AGAGUUUGAUCCUGGCUCAGGAUGAACGCUAGCGACAGGCUUAACACAUGCAAGUCGAGGGGCAGCAUGAUUUGUAGCAAUACAGAUUGAUGGCGACCGGCGCACGGGUGAGUAACGCGUAUGCAACUUACCUAUCAGAGGGGGAUAGCCCGGCGAAAGUCGGAUUAAUACCCCAUAAAACAGGGGUCCCGCAUGGGAAUAUUUGUUAAAGAUUCAUCGCUGAUAGAUAGGCAUGCGUUCCAUUAGGCAGUUGGCGGGGUAACGGCCCACCAAACCGACGAUGGAUAGGGGUUCUGAGAGGAAGGUCCCCCACAUUGGUACUGAGACACGGACCAAACUCCUACGGGAGGCAGCAGUGAGGAAUAUUGGUCAAUGGCCGAGAGGCUGAACCAGCCAAGUCGCGUGAAGGAAGAAGGAUCUAUGGUUUGUAAACUUCUUUUAUAGGGGAAUAAAGUGGAGGACGUGUCCUUUUUUGUAUGUACCCUAUGAAUAAGCAUCGGCUAACUCCGUGCCAGCAGCCGCGGUAAUACGGAGGAUGCGAGCGUUAUCCGGAUUUAUUGGGUUUAAAGGGUGCGUAGGUGGUGAUUUAAGUCAGCGGUGAAAGUUUGUGGCUCAACCAUAAAAUUGCCGUUGAAACUGGGUUACUUGAGUGUGUUUGAGGUAGGCGGAAUGCGUGGUGUAGCGGUGAAAUGCAUAGAUAUCACGCAGAACUCCGAUUGCGAAGGCAGCUUACUAAACCAUAACUGACACUGAAGCACGAAAGCGUGGGGAUCAAACAGGAUUAGAUACCCUGGUAGU